rnacentral:pre_miRNA from 1 species
GUAAUACUCCCUCCGUUCGGAAUUAGUUGUCGCAGAAAUGGAUGUAUCUAGAUGUAGUUUAGUUCUAGAUACAUCCAUUUCCGAGACAAGUAAUUCCGAACGGAGGGAGUAGAUA